rnacentral:rRNA from 1 species
CAGUCGCCGCGGUAAUACGUAGGUGGCAAGCGUUGUCCGGAAUUAUUGGGCGUAAAGGGCUCGCAGGCGGUUUCUUAAGUCUGACGUGAAAGCCCCCGGCUCAACCGGGGAGGGUCAUUGGAAACUGGGAAACUUGAGUGCAGAAGAGGAGAGUGGAAUUCCACGUGUAGCGGUGAAAUGCGUAGAGAUUAGGAGGAACACCAGUGGCGAAGGCGGCUUUUUGGCCUGUAACUGACACUGAGGCGCGAAAGCGUGGGGAGCAAACAGGAUUAGAUACCCCCGUAGUCCCUGUCUCUUAUAC